AAGAAUUUUGAUGAUCUUCACAAGUUCAUCCAAGCACCAUCUAAAGCUCAAACAGGCCUACGGUUUUCUUCAAAACUAGGCUUAUUCAUGAUGGUGCUUGGACGAAUUUGCUAAGAACAUUAAGUUCUU